GGCGUCAUAGCUCAGUGGUAGAGCGUUUGCACCGGAAUCGUCAUGGGUUCGAAUCUCAUUGGAGCUG